AUGAGGAAAAAUAAAAGAAAUGGGCAGCCAAAUGAAGGUGUGUGCGAUAUACAACAUACGGUUCACUCGGAUGAACUGUUUGUGAUUAGGCAACAUAAAAGAAACGGACACCAGAUCAAGGUGUGUGCGAUAUACGACAUGCAGUUCACUCGGCCUUGUCGUCAGUGUACCGUGGCAACCGUCCACCGCCUCUUCGCCUUUCCCUCUCGAUUUGGAACUGCUGUCGCACACUCUUCCUCCCUCCAUUUGCCUUCACCCUUCCUUCUGUCAUUAUUCGUUCGUCUUCUCCAUGGAGGGAACAGGCCGGAAACGAUCCCGUUAUUCUUGCCCCGAUCUGAAAGAUGA
rnacentral:rRNA from 1 species